AGCGAACGCUGGCGGCAGGCCUAACACAUGCAAGUCGAGCGCCGUAGCAAUACGGAGCGGCAGACGGGAGAGUAACACGUGGGAACGUGCCCUUUGGUUCGGAACAACCCAGGGAAACUUGGGCUAAUACCGGAUAAGCCCUUACGGGGAAAGAUUUAUCGCCGAAGGAUCGGCCCGCGUCUGAUUAGCUAGUUGGUGGGGUAACGGCCCACCAAGGCGACGAUCAGUAGCUGGUCUGAGAGGAUGAUCAGCCUCACUGGGACUGAGACACGGCCCAGACUCCUACGGGAGGCAGCAGUGGGGAAUAUUGGACAAUGGGCGCAAGCCUGAUCCAGCCAUGCCGCGUGGGUGAUGAAGGCCCUAGGGUUGUAAAGCCCUUUCGGCGGGGAAGAUAAUGACGGUACCCGCAGAAGAAGCCCCGGCUAACUUCGUGCCAGCCGCCGCAGUAAUAC
rnacentral:rRNA from 1 species